AGAGUUUGAUCCUGGCUCAGGACGAACGCUGGCGGCGCGCCUAACACAUGCAAGUCGAACGAGCGAGAGAGAGCUUGCUUUCUUGAGCGAGUGGCGAACGGGUGAGUAACGCGUGAGGAACCUGCCUCAAAGAGGGGGACAACAGUUGGAAACGACUGCUAAUACCGCUUAAGCCCACGGCUCGGCAUCGAGCAGAGGGAAAAGGAGCAAUCCGCUUUGAGAUGGCCUCGCGUCCGAUUAGCUAGUUGGUGAGGUAACGGCCCACCAAGGCGACGAUCGGUAGCCGGACUGAGAGGUUGAACGGCCACAUUGGGACUGAGACACGGCCCAGACUCCUACGGGAGGCAGCAGUGGGGAAUAUUGCACAAUGGGGGAAACCCUGAUGCAGCGACGCCGCGUGGAGGAAGAAGGUCUUCGGAUUGUAAACUCCUGUUGUUGAGGAAGAUAAUGACGGUACUCAACAAGGAAGUGACGGCUAACUACGUGCCAGCAGCCGCGGUAAAACGUAGGUCACAAGCGUUGUCCGGAAUUACUGGGUGUAAAGGGAGCGCAGGCGGGAAGACAAGUUGGAAGUGAAAUCCAUGGGCUCAACCCAUGAACUGCUUUCAAAACUGUUUUUCUUGAGUAGUGCAGAGGUAGGCGGAAUUCCCGGUGUAGCGGUGGAAUGCGUAGAUAUCGGGAGGAACACCAGUGGCGAAGGCGGCCUACUGGGCACCAACUGACGCUGAGGCUCGAAAGUGUGGGUAGCAAACAGGAUUAGAUACCCUGGUAGUCCACACUGUAAACGAUGAUUACUAGGUGUUGGAGGAUUGACCCCUUCAGUGCCGCAGUUAACACAAUAAGUAAUCCACCUGGGGAGUACGACCGCAAGGUUGAAACUCAAAGGAAUUGACGGGGGCCCGCACAAGCAGUGGAGUAUGUGGUUUAAUUCGACGCAACGCGAAGAACCUUACCAAGUCUUGACAUCCUGCGACGCACAUAGAAAUAUGUGUUUCCUUCGGGACGCAGAGACAGGUGGUGCAUGGUUGUCGUCAGCUCGUGUCGUGAGAUGUUGGGUUAAGUCCCGCAACGAGCGCAACCCUUAUGGUCAGUUACUACGCAAGAGGACUCUGGCCAGACUGCCGUUGACAAAACGGAGGAAGGUGGGGAUGACGUCAAAUCAUCAUGCCCUUUAUGACUUGGGCUACACACGUACUACAAUGGCGUUAAACAAAGAGAAGCAAGACCGCGAGGUGGAGCAAAACUCAGAAACAACGUCCCAGUUCGGACUGCAGGCUGCAACUCGCCUGCACGAAGUCGGAAUUGCUAGUAAUCGCAGAUCAGCAUGCUGCGGUGAAUACG
rnacentral:rRNA from 1 species